rfam:Triticum aestivum genome assembly, contig: Triticum_aestivum_CS42_TGACv1_scaffold_000346_1AL
UACGUACUCCCUCUGUUCCAAAAUUCUUGUUUUAGAUUUGUCUAAAUAUGGAUAUAUUAAGUCAUGUUUUAGUAUUGGAUACAUCCGUAUCUAAACAAAUUUAAGACAAAAAUUCUUGGACGGAGGAAGUAUUAC